CCUACGGGAGGCAGCAGUGGGGAAUAUUGCACAAUGGGCGCAAGCCUGAUGCAGCCAUGCCGCGUGUGUGAAGAAGGCCUUAGGGUUGUAAAGCACUUUCAGCGAGGAGGAAGGCGUUGUAGUUAAUAGCUGCAACGAUUGACGUUACUCGCAGAAGAAGCACCGGCUAACU
rnacentral:rRNA from 1 species